rnacentral:rRNA from 1 species
AGGUGGCGGUUAGCUAUCACUUACAGAUGGACCCGCGGCGCAUUAGCUAGUUGGUGAGGUAACGGCUCACCAACGCAACGAUGCGUAGCCGACCUGGUAGGGUGAUCGGCCACACUGGGACUGAGACACGGCCCAGACUCUACGGGAGGCAGCAGUAGGUAAUCUUCCGCAAUGGACGAAAGUCUGACGAAGCAACGCCGCGUGAGUGAUGAAGGUUUUCGGAUCGUAAAGCUCUGUUGUUAGGGAAGAACAAGUGCCGUUCGAAUAGGGCGGCACCUUGCCGGUACCUAACCAGAAAGCCACGGGUAAUACGUGCCAGCAGCCCCGGUAAUACGUAGGUGGCAAGCGUUGUCCGAAAUUAUUGGGCGUAAAGCGCGCGCAGGUGGUUCCU